rnacentral:rRNA from 1 species
AUGGCGGAAACAGAGGGAUGCGAGCCGGUGACGGCAAGNGACCCCAAAAACACCGUCCCAGUUCGGACUGUAGUCUGCAACCCGACUACACGAAGCCGGAAUCGCUAGUAAUCGCGGAUCAGAAUGCCGCGGUGAAUACGUUCCCGGGUCUUGUACACACCGCCCGUCACACCAUGGGAGUCGGAAAUGCCCGAAGUCAGUGACCCAACCGGAAGGAAGGAGCUGCCGAAGGUGGAGCCGGUAACUGGGGUGAAGUCGUAACAAGGUAUC